rnacentral:rRNA from 1 species
AGGAUUAACGCUGGCGGCGUGCCUAACACAUGCAAGUCGAACGAGGUAGCAAUACCUAGUGGCAGACGGGUGAGUAGCGCGUGGUCAACCUACCGUUGAGUGGGGGAUAACUAGCCGAAAGGUUAGCUAAUACCGCAUACGUCUCCGAGGGGCAUCCCUUGGUGAUAAAAGGAGCAAUCCGCUCGAUGACGGGACCGCGUCCCAUUAGCUAGUUGGUGGGUAACGGCCUACCAAGGCAUCGAUGGGUAGCUGGUUUGAGAGAGCGACCAGCCACACUGGGACUGAGAUACGGCCCAGACUCCUACGGGAGGCAGCAGUGAGGAAUUUUCCGCAAUGGGCGAAAGCCUGACGGAGCGACGCCGCGUGUGGGAAGAAGGCCUUCGGGUCGUAACCACUGUCGAAGGGGAAGAUAAUGACGGUACCCUUGGAGGAAGCCCCGGCUAACUACGCGCCAGCAGCCGC